rnacentral:tRNA from 1 species
CAUAGGAUGACUGAAUUAAUAGUAUAAAUUUUUUAAAUUUAAUAUAGUAGAAAUACUUCUUAUGG